rnacentral:rRNA from 1 species
GAUGAACGCUGGCGGCGUGCCUAAUACAUGCAAGUCGAGCGAACAGACGAGGAGCUUGCUCCUCUGAUGUUAGCGGCGGACGGGUGAGUAACACGUGGAUAACCUACCUAUAAGACUGGGAUAACUUCGGGAAACCGGAGCUAAUACCGGAUAACAUGUUGAACCGCAUGGUUCAACAGUGAAAGACGGUUUUGCUGUCACUUAUAGAUGGAUCCGCGCCGCAUUAGCUAGUUGGUAAGGUAACGGCUUACCAAGGCAACGAUGCGUAGCCGACCUGAGAGGGUGAUCGGCCACACUGGAACUGAGACACGGUCCAGAGUCCUACGGGAGGCAGCAGUAGGGAAUCUUCCGCAAUGGGCGAAAGCCUGACGGAGCAACGCCGCGUGAGUGAAGAAGGUCUUCGGAUCGUAAAACUCUGUUAUUAGGGAAGAACAAAUGUGUAAGUAACUAUGCACGUCUUGACGGUACCUAAUCAGAAAGCCACGGCUAACUACGUG